ACGCAGAUAAAGGCGAUUCUAAAGGGUCUGGCAUGGGCCUCGGCCCCCCUAAAAUAAAAAAUUAUCAUUUAGGCCCUAUAAGUUUUUUAAAAAUUUUAAAUUAGUAAAGGUAAAAUUACACUUUGAGCUCCCUAAAAUUAUAAAAAUUUGAUUUAAUUCUUUAAAAAUUAUAAAGAUAUGGACUAUAAAAAUUAAAAUUUC
rnacentral:lncRNA from 1 species